ensembl:lncRNA
AUCGAGCUAUGGGUGGGAUGGGAUGAUGCUCUCAGGCUUGUUCCUUUAAGCAGAGGUCACCAGUGGGGUGCUGGGUGAGUGGGUGUUGGUGUUACCCUUGAGGAUGUCCCUGUAAAGGUAGCAUUGGGAAGAACCAUUCUCAAAGACCGUAUGCUGAGUGCUGCUGUGAGUGCCUUGCCUUGUACAGGAACCUAUAGCUUCAUGCGUGUAGCAAUUGUACAGAUCAAUACAAUGGGAAAGGCGUUACAACAAGGUGUGAUGACAGAAGGACUGGCACAAUAGAAAGGUGCUGUAAAGGAAGGGAAGAAGACUGUUCACCGUAUCAGAAGAUUCCAGAUUUGCAGGGGAAAGCUUCACCAAGGAGGGAUCUCCAAGAAGAGACCCUUCCCCAGUGGCAGUCAGCCUUCAAUGAGGUCUAAGAGAGGUGCAGCCAGGCUCCACCCCUUGCAGUCACACAGCUGAAUUGCCUUCACCUGUGCUCCCAGGGCUGGCCCAUCCUUUCCCCAGGUGCUCAAUCAGUGGUUCAGGCUGUGACUCAACAGUUACCAUACAGUAUGUUUGAGGGUGCUGUUAGGGGCCACUUGACCAGCAGUCUGUGGGGCAGGCUUUGAGCUCAGGUGACAAACUGAAGGAAUGGUUGGAAGUCAAUAAGAUGAAAUUCAGGCCAGGAGCUACCUUUAGGGAGAAGAAGGGAUUGGGGUUCAUAGUGAUUCCCAGCUAAGUCAGAGUGGUGCUCCUUUAAAAAUACAAAUCUUGUUCCUGGAAGUAUUGAUAGGAGCAUGGUGUGCAAGUGUUGAGGAGAACAGCUCCUCUGUGUCAUCUGGUGAUGAUGUAGAGGCUGGUCUACAAAUGGGAAAGGACUGGCAAGUCACGACCCAUGGGAUAAGUAAUGAUAGAUCUUACUGAAGGAGGACAAACAGCUUCAUUUAGAGUAAGGGAGAAUUGAGCUGCUACUUGGAAACCUUAACCAUAAGGUACAGCGCUUGACCCUGCAUGUUGGCCAGCCAGGUAAAACCUUGGGCCCAAUGGAUGUGUCCUGUAUCCUUCCAGCUCCACUGGCUUCUAUUCUUAAUACAGCAACACUGAGCUUUCCUUCUGCCCUGGGUUGCUCUGUGUUCCCUGCAGCCUGUGUGGGUAGAUGGUGUUGUGCUUCUUAUCCUCCUUUAGCUACUGUUCCCUCUACCUGGAAGGUAGGAGGUUGCUUCACAGAGUCUUUGGGGAUGGAAGGGACCAUCCUGUCCAACCACCCUGCUGGAGCAGGUUGCCCAGAGAGGUUGCGGGUGCCCCCUCCUUGGAAGCAUCCAAGGCCAGGCUGGAUGGGGCUGCGAGCAACCCGGUGUGGUGGGAGGUUGGAACCCAAACCAUUCAAUACAAGUGUGGCUCUGUGUUUUGGUGUAGGAUCCUGGGCCACGUACACACCAGUGUUCUCUGCUAGCUGUCAGCCAGCUCUUCCAGAGCCACAGUCCUGUGGUUUAAUAGUAGCACGGUUCCACAUCAUCUCAUGUGGUGCAAGGUGAGACAGGUGCCCACUGCUCUAGAGACUGAAGAGCAGGUCAGGGUGGAUGGAGCAGCCUCAGGUGGCUGAGUCCAGCAUCCCCUCCUACAAACUUGUUUCAUU